rnacentral:rRNA from 1 species
GUAGGGUGCGAGCGUUAAUCGGAAUUACUGGGCGUAAAGCGUGCGCAGGCGGUUUUGUAAGACAGGUGUGAAAUCCCCGGGCUUAACCUGGGAACUGCAUUUGUGACUGCAAGGCUGGAGUGCGGCAGAGGGGGAUGGAAUUCCGCGUGUAGCAGUGAAAUGCGUAGAUAUGCGGAGGAACACCGAUGGCGAAGGCAAUCCCCUGGGCCUGCACUGACGCUCAUGCACGAAAGCGUGGGGAGCAAACAGGAUUAGAUACCCUGGUAGUCCACGCCCUAAACGAUGUCAACUGGUUGUUGGUCCUUCACUGGAUCAGUAACGAAGCUAACGCGUGAAGUUGACCGCCUGGGGAGUACGGCCGCAAGGUUGAA